GCAUUGGUGUUUCACUGGUAGAAUUCUCGCCUGCCACGCGGGAGACCCGGGUCCGAUUCCCGGCCAAUGCA
rfam:Danio rerio chromosome 4, GRCz11 reference primary assembly.